rnacentral:sRNA from 12 species
ACUGUGGAGUGUACAAGAACUUGUGAGUAGCGUAUUGUUUUACAAUCGUCAAAACAUACACAAAGAAGCAGUAA